GAUGAACGCUAGCUACAGGCUUAACACAUGCAAGUCGAGGGACCGGCGCACGGGUGAGUAACACGUAUCCAACCUGCCCUUUACUCGGGGAUAGCCUUUCGAAAGAAAGAUUAAUACCCGAUAUAAAGGAUGGGGAUGCGUUCCAUUAGGUUGUGGGUGAGGUAACGGCCCACCAAGCCUUCGAUGGUUAGGGGUUCUGCUAGGAAGGGCCCCCACAUUGGAACUGGUACACGGUCCAAACUCCUACCGGAGGCAGCAGAGAGGAAUAUUGGUCAAUGGGCGGUAGCCUGAACCAGCCAAGUAGCUUGGAGGAUGAAGGCUUAUGGGUCGUAAACUUCUUUUAUAUAAGAAUAUGUAUUAUAUGAAUAAGGAGCGGCUAACUCCGUGCCAGCCGCCGCGGUAAUAC
rnacentral:rRNA from 1 species